UACGGGGGGAGCAAGCGUUGUUCGGAUUUACUGGGCGUAAAGGGCGCGUAGGCGGCCAGCACAAGUCAGUUGUGAAAUCUCCGAGCUUAACUCGGAAAGGUCAACUGAUACUGUGUGGCUAGAGUGCAGAAGGGGCAACUGGAAUUCUUGGUGUAGCGGUGAAAUGCGUAGAUAUCAAGAGGAACACCUGCGGCGAAGGCGGGUUGCUGGGCUGACACUGACGCUGAAGCGCGAAAGCCAGGGGAGCGAACGGG
rnacentral:rRNA from 1 species